GACGAACGCUGGCGGCGUGCUUAACACAUGCAAGUCGAACGAGAAGAGAUGAGAAGCUUGCUUCUUAUCAAUUCGAGUGGCAAACGGGUGAGUAACGCGUAAGCAACCUGCCCUUNAGAUGGGGACAACAGCUGGAAACGGCCGCUAAUACCGAAUACGUUCUUUUUGUCGCAUGGCAGAGGGAAGAAAGGGAGGCUCUUCGGAGCUUUCGCUGAAGGAGGGGCUUGCGUCUGAUUAGCUAGUUGGAGGGGUAACGGCCCACCAAAGGCGACGAUCAGUAGCCGGACUGAGAGGUUGAACGGCCACAUUGGGACUGAGAUACGGCCCAGACUCCUACGGGAGGCAGCAGUGGGGAAUAUUGGGGCAAUGGGCGCAAGCCUGACCCAGCAACGCCGCGUGAAGGAAGAAGGCUUUCGGUGUAAACUCUUUAUAAGGGAA
rnacentral:rRNA from 1 species